rnacentral:rRNA from 1 species
AUUGAACGCUGGCGGAAUGCUUUACACAUGCAAGUCGAACGGUAGAGGGGGCAACCCCUUGAGAGUGGCGAACGGGUGAGUAAUAUAUCGGAACGUGCCCAGUCGUGGGGAUAACGUAGCGAAAGUUACGCUAAUACCGCAUACGAUCUAAGGAUGAAAGCGGGGGAUCGCAAGACCUCGCGCGAUUGGAGCGGCCGAUAUCAGAUUAGGUAGUUGGUGGGGUAAAGGCUCACCAAGCCAACGAUCUGCAGCUGGUCUGAGAGGACGACCAGCCACACUGGAACUGAGACACGGUCCAGACUCCUACGGGAGGCAGCAGUGGGGAAUUUUGGACAAUGGACGCAAGUCUGAUCCAGCCCAUUCCGCGUGCAGGAUGAAGGCCCUCGGGUUGUAAACUGCUUUGUACGGAACGAAAGGUUUCUCUUAAUACGAGAGCUCAUGACGGUACCGUAAGAAUAAGCACCGGCUAACUACGUGCCAGCAGCCGC